AUGGCUGUCAGCACUGGUAGCUUCUUGGCCAUUGCCAUGGCCCUCGCUCUCCUUAGUGGCGACAUGGCCCACGCCGGCCGCCUCCUGGCCGACACCACGGAGGCAGCAGCGCCCGCUGCAACGCCUGCCGCUGUCCCAGGCAUCCCCGCGCCGAAGCCGCCCGUGCCCACCAUGCCUACAAUGCCACCCGUGCCCGCGCUCGCCGUUCCCCAGUUCACGGUACCCCCCAUGACGGCCGUGCCCGCGAUCACCGUGUCCCAGGUCACGUUGCCGCCCAUGCCGGCCGUCCCUGCGGUCACCGUGCCCAAGGUCACGUUGCCGCCCAUGCCCGCAGUUGUUGUGCCGAAGGUGACGAUGCCGCCAAUGCCUGCAAUUCCAUCCAUCUCCAUACCCAAGGUGGCAUUGCCUCCGAUGCCUUCCAUUCCCACUGUGAACGUGCCGAUGCCAACCCUUGCGCCACCUCCUUCAGCAUAG
rnacentral:rRNA from 1 species